GUGCUCGCUUUGGCAGCACAUAUACUAAAAUUGGAAUAAUACUGAGAAGAUUAGCAUGGCCCCUGCCCAAGGAUGAUAGGCAAUCCACAAACCAUUUCAUAUUUUUU
ensembl:snRNA U6 U6 spliceosomal RNA